rnacentral:rRNA from 1 species
GACGAACGCUGGCGGCGUGCUUAACACAUGCAAGUCGAACGGAAAGGCCCUGCUUGCAGGGUGCUCGAGUGGCGAACGGGUGAGUAACACGUGGGUGAUCUGCCCCUUACUUUGGGAUAAGCCUGGGAAACUGGGUCUAAUACUGGAUAGGACCAUGCUGUAGGUGGUGUGGUGGAAAGAUUAGUUUCGGUAAGGGAUGAGCUCGCGGCCUAUCAGCUUGUUGGUGGGGUAAUGGCCUACCAAGGCGUCGACGGGUAGCCGGCCUGAGAGGGUGGACGGCAACAUGGGGACUGAGAUACGGCCCAGAAUCCUACGGGAGGCAGCAGUGGGGAAUAUUGCACAAUGGGCGCAAGCCUGAUGCAGCGACGCCGCGUGGGGGAUGACGGCCUUCGGGUUGUAAACUCCUUUCAGCCAUGACGAAGCCCUUGUGGUGACGGUAGUGGUAGAAGAAGCACCGGCUAACUACGUG